GAAGGUGGCAAGCGUUGUUCGGAAUCAUUGGGCUUAAAGCGCGCGUAGGCGGACUGGAAAGCGUCUUGUGAAAACCCACGGCUUAACCGUGGAAUUGCUUAGCAAACUAUCAGUCUUGAGGCAAGUAGGGGUACAUGGAACUCUUAGUGGAGCGGUGGAAUGCGUAGAUAUUAAGAGGAACGCCAAUGGUGAAGACAGUGUACUGGGCUUGUACUGACGCUGAGGUGCGAAAGCGUGGGGAGCGAACGGGGGAUUAGAUACCCCGGUAGUCCACGCCGUAAACGAUGUCUACUAGAUCGUGGGAGUUCUGUCACUUUCACGGUCGAAGCAAAAGUGAUAAGUAGACCGCCUGGGGAGUACGGUCGCAAGGCUA
rnacentral:rRNA from 1 species